rnacentral:rRNA from 1 species
AUGGGUCCAACGCGCCGGGACAACCGCUCCUCGCGCGCUGCGUCGUGCGUUACAGGGAGCAGUUGCGCAGGGAUAGGCCGACGCAUGUGUACCCGACUUAUGCACCCGCGUCUGUCCUACAGCAAUGACGGGUGGGCCGAUGCUGCUCCUGGUCCCGUUCGUCAGUGGCAUUGGCUGCGCAUCUUGUCGCAGUCGGGAUUCACCGAUCCCAUCCGCUCGGGCGCCGUGCUCGUCUUGCGGAACGUGCAAAAGGUCAACCCUUCUCGUCAAGCCCGCGCGCCCACUCCGCCUCGUCUCCUCCCUGCUCCCAUCUCUCCCAUGUCGCCGCCCUCGAUCCCGCACCCCCUCCACCUCGUCUCGUCACUCCUCUCCAAGGCCGCCGUCCUCGAUGCGCCGGCAGUGGAUUGGAUCGAGGGCGCCCGCAUGGCCUCGCCGCUGCUGCCACCUGAAUUCCCUAGCCUCCACGUGGAGUCGCCCUGGCCGCCACCUCGAGUCACCUCCGUCGCCGCAGCGAUUUUUGGAUUUCCACUGAGUGAUAGCUUUGUUUUGGUCUUCCAUAUAUUUGUGUUCUUAUUAUCAAGUCUCCACACAUGUCUUGUGCCCCCACAGGAAAUAGCAUUCUUUGACGUGACUAGAACAGGAAAGCUCUUAAGGAGGCUUUCUAAAGAUACCCAAAUUAUAAAGAAUGCCGCUACAACAAACCUUUCAGAAGCAAUACGUAAUCUGACUACCACAGCUAUUGGUCUUGGCUUUAUGUUUUCAACUUCAUGGAAGCUAACAUAUCAAUUGUCGAGGCAGAAUGCUAGGUGGCUCACGCUAAGCAUCGUUUCACAUUCACGAGGCGAGAGGAGAAGAAAAGGGUCUGUAAGGUCGGACUUAGGUGCAUCUCUGGCCAGAGAUGGCUGGAUCCAUCCGACGCUCUUCCAAACAGAGCGUGAAGAUUUGCUGACUGUUUGA